GCUGAUGGUUGCCAGGGGGCUCUGCUCUGAGUCAUCCCCUGGGACCCAGGAUGAUAGAGCAGCUACUUUCUGGAAAUUUGGUGGCUACCUGGGCAGUAGGUUAAUAGAGUUUGGUGAAGAAAGGGUUUUCUCUUAAAGCUUCUGACCGUAAGUGUUGUCACUUGGGUAGAAAUGUGUACUUCAUUGGCCAGAGAGUCACCGGAUCACAAACAGGCGCUAAAAAGAGUGGGAAUGAACCACAGGAUAAUGUUUCAGGACCUAACCACCUGACU
ensembl:lncRNA